GAUGAACGCUGGCGGCGUGCAUAACACAUGCAAGUCGAACGAAGUGGUGAACGGGUGAGUAACACGUGAGUAACCUGCCUUACACAAGGGGAUAGCCUUUGGAAACGAAGAAUAAUACCCUAUAGUGUAAGAUGGACUUGCGUCUGAUUAGCUAGUUGGUGAGAUAAAGGCCCACCAAGGCAACGAUCAGUAGCCGGCAUGAGAGAGUGGACAGCCACAAUGGGACUAGGAUACGGCCCAGACUCUACGUGGGGCAACGGGGGGGAAUAUUGCACAAUAAGGGAAACCCUGAGACAGCAACGCCGCGUGCGGGAGACGGCCUUCGGGUUGUAAACCGCUUUCAGCGAUGACGCGGUAGUGGCAGAAGAAGCACCGGCUAACUACGUGCCAGCAGCCGCGGUAAUUC
rnacentral:rRNA from 1 species